CAGUAGCCACGGUAAUACGUAGGUGGCAAGCGUUGUCCGGAAUUAUUGGGCGUAAAGGGCUCGCAGGCGGUUUCUUAAGUCUGAUGUGAAAGCCCCCGGCUCAACCGGGGAGGGUCAUUGGAAACUGGGAAACUUGAGUGCAGAAGGGGAGAGUGGAAUUCCACGUGUAGCGGUGAAAUGCGUAGAGAUGUGGAGGAACACCAGUGGCGAAGGCGACUCUCUGGUCUGUAACUGACGCUGAGGAGCGAAAGCGUGGGGAGCGAACGGGAUUAGAUACCCGUGUAGUCCCUGUCUCUUAUAC
rnacentral:rRNA from 1 species